AACGAACGUUGGCGGCGUGGAUUAGGCAUGCAAGUCGAACGAGAACCGUAGCAAUACGGGGAAAGUGGCGAAAGGGGCAGUAAGGCAUGGGUAAUCUACCCUGGGGACGUGGAUAGCCAUUCUAACGAGUGGGUAAUACACGGCGAUUCGGCGGAGGGGCAUCCCUUUGCCGGGAAAUGAAUUUCGCCUCGGGAGGAGCUCAUGUGAUAUUAGCUUGUUGGUGAGGUAACGGCUCACCAAGGCNCAGAUGUCUAGCGGGUGUGAGAGCACGACCCGCGCCACUGGCACUGAGACACUGGCCAGACACCUACGGGUGGCUGCAGUCGAGGAUCUUCGGCAAUGGGCGCAAGCCUGACCGAGCGACGCCGCGUGUGUGACGAAGG
rnacentral:rRNA from 1 species